rnacentral:rRNA from 1 species
GAUGCGACCUCAGCUCCAGGCGGGGCUACCCGCUGAUUUAAGCAUAUCAAUAAA